rnacentral:rRNA from 1 species
UACAGAGGUGCCAAGCGUUGUUCGGAUUUAUUGGGCGUAAAGGGUGCGUAGGCGGCCAUACAAGUCGGGUGUGAAAUCCCGGAGCUUAACUCCGGAAUGGCAUUCGAAACUGUAUGGCUCGAGAUCUGGAGAGGUGAUUGGAAUUCUCGGUGUAGCAGUGAAAUGCGUAGAUAUCGAGAGGAACACCAGAGGCGAAAGCGGCUUCCUGGACCAGUACCGACGUUCAGGCACGAAAGCGUGGGGAGCAAACAGG